rnacentral:tRNA from 1 species
UCCCUGGUAGUCCAAUGGUUAAGACCCCAUGCUCCCAACACAGGGGUCCCAGGUUCGAUCCUUGGUCAGGGAA